GACGAACGCUGGCGGCGUGCUUAACACAUGCCAGUCGAACGGAAAGGCCCUGCUUUUGUGGGGUGCUCGAGUGGCGAACGGGUGAGUAACACGUGAGUAACCUGCCCUUGACUUUGGGAUAACUUCAGGAAACUGGGGCUAAUACCGGAUAGGAGCUCCUGCUGCAUGGUGGGGGUUGGAAAGUUUCGGCGGUUGGGGAUGGACUCGCGGCUUAUCAGCUUGUUGGUGGGGUAGUGGCUUACCAAGGCUUUGACGGGUAGCCGGCCUGAGAGGGUGACCGGACGCUGUGGGGAGGAGACACGGCACAGACUGCGAGGGGAGGGAGGAUGGGGGAGUAGUGCCGAGGGGGGGGGGGACUGGCGGAGGCGGGCCGGGGGGGGGAUGGGCGACUUGGGGGGUUAGACUGGUUUGCGUGGGGAAGGGGGGUGGGGGACGGGAAGGGGAAAAGAAGAACAGGUUCACAACGUGCGAGGCGCGGCGGUAGUGAUGAAUAGAACACGUCUGAAC
rnacentral:rRNA from 1 species